UCCAGACUCCUACGGGAGGCAGCAGUGGGGAAUAUUGUACAAUGGGGGAAACCCUGAUGCAGCGACGCCGCGUGAGCGAUGAAGUAUUUCGGUAUGUAAAGCUCUAUCAGCAGGGAAGAAAAUGACGGUACCUGACUAAGAAGCCCCGGCUAACUACGUGCCAGCAGCCGCGGUAAUACGUAGGGGGCAAGCGUUAUCCGGAUUUACUGGGUGUAAAGGGAGCGUAGACGGCUGUGCAAGCCAGAUGUGAAAGCCCGGGGCUCAACCCCGGGACUGCAUUUGGAACUGCAUGGCUGGAGUGCGGGAGGGGCAGGCGGAAUUCCUGGUGUAGCGGUGAAAUGCGUAGAUAUCAGGAGGAACACCGGUGGCGAAGGCGGCCUGCUGGACUGCGACUGACGUUGAGGCCCGAAAGCGUGGGGAGCAAACAGGAUUAGAUACCCCGGUAGAC
rnacentral:rRNA from 1 species